rfam:Perkinsus marinus ATCC 50983 gcontig_1104296143028, whole genome shotgun sequence.
GCUCUGGUGGCUCAAUCGGAUAGAGCGUUGGACUUCUAAUCCAAAGGUUGCGGGUGCAAGUCCCGCCCAGAGUA